CAGGGAAUCUUCCACAAUGGACGCAAGUCUGAUGGAGCAACGCCGCGUGAGUGAAGAAGGUUUUCGGACCGUAAAGCUCUGUUGUUGGUGAAGAAGGAUAGAGGUAGUAACUGGCCUUUAUUUGACGGUAAUCAACCAGAAAGUCACGGCUAACUACGUGCCAGCAGCCGCGGUAAUACGUAGGUGGCAAGCGUUGUCCGGAUUUAUUGGGCGUAAAGCGAGCGCAGGCGGAAGAAUAAGUCUGAUGUGAAAGCCCUCGGCUUAACCGAGGAAUUGCAUCGGAAACUGUUUUUCUUGAGUGCAGAAGAGGAGAGUAGAACUCCAUGUGUAGCGGUGGAAUGCGUAGAUAUAUGGAAGAAUACCAGUGGCGAAGGCGGCUCUCUGGUCUGCAACUGACGCUGAGGCUCGAAAGCAUGGGUAGCGAACAGGAUUAGAUACCCUGGUAGUCCAUGCCGUAAACGAUGAGUGCUAAGUGUUGGGAGGCUUCCGCCUCUCAGUGCUGCAGCUAACGCAUUAAGCACUCCGCCUGGGGGAGUACGACCGCAAGGUUGAAAC
rnacentral:rRNA from 1 species